CCCAGUGUUAUAUCAAACGAAAGUAGUCUGGACGAAAUCGGACACGUUGAAUAGGGAA
rnacentral:sRNA from 1 species